rnacentral:rRNA from 1 species
GAUGAACGCUGGCGGCGUGCCUAACACAUGCAAGUCGAACGGAGUUACGAGAGCUUGCUUUUGUAACUUAGUGGCGAACGGGUGAGUAAUGCGUGAGCAACCUGCCUUCAGAGGGGACGAACAGUUGGAACGACUGCUAAUACCGCAUAAUGUAUUUAGGUAGGCAUCUCCUGGAUACCAAAGGAGAAAUCCGCUGAAGGAUGGCUCACGUCUGAUUAGCUAGUUGGUGAGGUAACGGCUCACCAAGGCUGCGAUCAGUAGCCGGACUGAGAGGUUGAACGGCCACAUUGGGACUGAGAUACGGCCCAGACUCCUACGGGAGGCAGCAGUGGGGAAUAUUGGGCAAUGGGGGAAACCCUGACCCAGCAACGCCGCGUGAAGGAAGAAGGCUUUCGGGUUGUAAACUUCUUUUUACCAGGGACGAAGGACGUGACGGUACCUGGAGAAAAAGCCACGGGCUAACUAACGUGCCAGCAGCCGCCGCGGUAAC